GAUGAACGCUAGCGGCAAGCUUAAUACAUGCAAGUCGAGGGGCAGCAUGACUGUAGCAAUACAGUUGAUGGCGACCGGCAAACGGGUGCGGAACACGUACAGAACCUUCCUUCGAGCGGGGAAUAGCCCAGAGAAAUUUGGAUUAAUACCCCAUAGUAUUACGGAGUGGCAUCACUUUGUAAUUAAAGAUUUAUCACUUGAAGAUGGCUGUGCGGCUGAUUAGAUAGUUGGCAGGGUAACGGCCUACCAAGUCUACGAUCAGUAACUGGUGUGAGAGCACGACCAGUCACACGGGCACUGAGACACGGGCCCGACUCCUACGGGAGGCAGCAGUAAGGAAUAUUGGUCAAUGGACGAAAGUCUGAACCAGCUAUGCCGCGUGGAGGAUGAAGGCCCUCUGGGUUGUAAACUUCUUUUAUAUGGGACGAAAAAGGACCUUUCUAGGUCAACUGACGGUACCAUGUGAAUAAGCACCGGCUAACUCCGUGCCAGCAGCCGCCGUAACAC
rnacentral:rRNA from 1 species